rnacentral:rRNA from 1 species
GACGAACGCUGGCGGCGUGCCUAAUACAUGCAAGUUGAGCGCUGAAGGUUGGUACUUGUACCAACUGGAUGAGCAGCGCACGGGUGAGUAACGCGUGGGGAAUCUGCCUUUGAGCGGGGGACAACAUUUGGAAACGAAUGCUAAUACCGCAUAAAAACUUUAAACACAAGUUUUAAGUUUGAAAGAUGCAAUUGCAUCACUCAAAGAUGAUCCCGCGUUGUAUUAGCUAGUCGGUGAGGUAAAGGCUCACCAAGGCGAUGAUACAUAGCCGACCUGAGAGGGUGAUCGGCCACAUUGGGACUGAGACACGGCCCAAACUCCUACGGGAGGCAGCAGUAGGGAAUCUUCGGCAAUGGACGAAAGUCUGACCGAGCAACGCCGCGUGAGUGAAGAAGGUUUUCGGAUCGUAAAACUCUGUUGGUAGAGAAGAACGUUGGUGAGAGUGGAAAGCUCAUCAAGUGACGGUAACUACCCAGAAAGGGACGGCUAACUACGUG